ACGUUCAUAUCAUGUUGAAACGCCAGUUCUCGUACGAUCUCCGAAGUUAAGCAACGUCUAUCUUGUUCAGUACCAAGAUGGGUAAUUCGUUGGGAAUACCAGGUGCUGUAAG